rnacentral:lncRNA from 1 species
AUAUUAGGCUAUAAUUUAUAUUAAGUAUAAUCUAAUUUUAUUAAAUUUUUAGGAUUGUAAUCUUUGAUGGUAUAAAUCCUAGCUUGAUUCCUUGAAUUAGGUUAAUUAAGAUCAAAAUGAUAUAGAUUAGAAAAUUAGAAUAAUAAUUUGGAUAGUUUUAAUAAUUUAGAGGUCAUUGUCAUUGCUAUAAGGAUUGAUUGAAAGCCUAUGAAUUCAAUUACAAUCAUUUCAUAUGAUUGUAAGUGAAUUAGAAUUAGAACUUUCUAAAAGAUUUAGUGAAGUUUAGCAAUGAUAAUUUUGAAGCAUUUUCUUCAACUUCAAUAAAUCGAAGCAAAAAAGUAGUUUUUUCAAUUAAUGGAGGCUUUCAAAUGCAAUGGUGGUGUUAGAUUCAUCCCAUGGAGUGAAGAAAACAAGAUCAGCAACCUUCUCCUCCAACAUACAAGUAGAGUAAUGAAAUUUUCAUUUUUGAAGGAUUUUACAAUAAUUGCUAAAAACUUUAGAGGUAAAAACUUUCAUAAAAAUUACAAAUGAACAUAGAUGGAGGCAUGUGAAUAGUCAAUCUUAGCAUAAAAGGUAUUUUGAAUACAAUGGUGAAGUUAAAUUUACCAAAAAUUUCUUUUUUGAUCACUUACAAUAGCCAUCAGCCUUGAUAACGAAAUUAGCUUUUGGGUGAAUGAAGGCCGUAGAUCUAGAUUAGGGAUCUUAAAAAUCAAGGGUAGAGAUGCAGCUACCCUUUCACAAGCCUUAACUCAAUUAUGUAAGAGAGGCUUGGUUUUCUAAGCCCUCUCUCUCUCCUCUUUUGGUGAAGGACAAAGCCAUGCCAAAAUUUGGUAAAAAAUCCUAAUCUUAAUUUUAUUUAGAUUUUUAAAUCUCAAUGUGAACUUUGUGGAUGGAUGUGCAUGGAUUUUUAAUUUUGAAUGAUAGUCAUUGGAUUUUAAAACAUGCUUCAUUGUGGUAGAUAGCUCCCUUGGCC